rnacentral:tRNA from 3 species
GCUGGUGUAGCUCAGUUGGCAGAGCAGCUGUUUCGUAAACAGCAGGUCGUCGGUUCGACUCCGACCGCCAGCU